AUUGAACGCUGGCGGCAGGCCUAACACAUGCAAGUCGAGCGGAGCGGCGGACGGGUGAGUAAUGCAUAGGAAUCUGCCUGGUCGUGGGGGAUAAGGUCAGGAAACGGGCGCUAAUACCGCAUACUAUCAGCAGAGCCUGGGCCGGAUUAGCAAGUUGGUGGGGUAAAGGCCUACCAAGGCGACGAUCCGUAACUGGUCGGAGAGGAUGAUCAGUCACACUGGAACUGAGACACGGUCCAGACUCCUACGGGAGGCAGCAGUGGGGAAUAUUGGACAAUGGGCGAAAGCCUGAUCCAGCCAUGCCGCGUGUGUGAAGAAGGUCUUCGGAUUGUAAAGCACUUUAAGUUGGGAGGCGUUACCAGCAGAAGAAGCACCGGCUAACUUCGUGCCAGCAGCCGCGGUAAUUC
rnacentral:rRNA from 1 species